CCUACGGGUGGCAGCAGUGGGGGAUAUUGCACAAUGGGGGGAACUCUGAUGCAGCGACGCCGCGUGGGUGAAGAAGCGCCUCGGCGCGUAAAGCCCUGUCAGCAGGGAAGAAAAUGACGGUACCUGAAGCAGAAGCCCCGUCUAACUACGUGCCAGCAGCCGCGGGAAUACGUAGGGGGCAAGCGUUAUCCGGAUUUACUGGGUGUAAAGGGGGCGCAGACGGGGAUGCAAGCCAGGAGUGAAAGCCCGGGGCCCAACCCCGGGACUGCUCUUGAAACUGCGUGGCUGGAGUGCAGGAGGGGCAGGCGGAAUUCCUGGUGUAGCGGUGAAAUGCGUAGAUAUCAGGAAGAACACCGGUGGCGAAGGCGGCCGGCUGGACUGCAACUGACGUUGAGGCCCGAAAGCGUGGGGAGCAAACAGGAUUAGAUACCCCGGUAGUC
rnacentral:rRNA from 1 species